rnacentral:lncRNA from 1 species
AAAGGUUUACCGAUCUAUCUAUUGACCGCGCCGCGAUGCCCGGACGAUUGGGGGAUCGCAGUGGUACAGAACUUCCCCGACUGCUCGUUUAUGUAUGGCCCUUGACUUGCGUCCGCAGUUGUUUCAGUAGUNUCAGUCGUACAGAACGGCAGGCUACCACCGAAAAACCCGUUGGCUGGCGGUUUCCAGUAGUGCCAUUAACCCAUCUUCGCGCGCAGAAAACCUGCUGUCAGUGGGACCACAAGUGUAAAACGUGUCGAUUGUCGAACUGAAAUGAAGGAGGUGCACCUAUUCUCUGUGUCAUCUGCAGCUCCGCACAUUUAGGCUUAGCAAGGUCCCCUGAAGGGCUUGACAGUCCUUUUACUGCCUGCAGUAAUCCUUGCUUGGCUGCGUGCGUUGAAACUCGCUAAGCGUUGUUAACGCUGCUGAUCGUGCUGUUUAGUGCUGCUACAUUUGCCGCAGACCAGUCUGAACCUGAAGAUAACAGCCUCAACAUGACAUGCUAUGCUAAGAUGGACAUAUUACCUGUAUGUUACUGUAUGCAUGAAAAGCUUCGUAAUCACUAGCAGGCUCGCUAGCUGUUGGCCCUGAAGCCGCGCAUACCGAAUCUGGGAUUUCAGAUGAUGAUGAUUAUCACUUCACAUUACUUAUGGUAUUUUCGCGGUAGAACAAAUUGAGGUUGCUGUGUGGAGGUGUAUCCUAACUACAACCCAUUGAAUGAAUCGCGAUGCCCUAGCUAUUAAGAUAAAAUAUUAAAAACAUCACAUUCAUGCAUAAAAUAACCUGUAUACGAAGAUAAUGUAA